GACGAACGCUGGCGGCGUGCUUAACACAUGCAAGUCGAACGGAGUGGCGAACGGGUGAGUAACACGUGGGUGAUCUGCCUUGCACUUCGGGAUAAGCUUGGGAAACUGGGCCUAAUACCGGAUAGUGCAAGAUGAGCUCGCGGCCUAUCAGCUUGUUGGUGGGGUAAUGGCCUACCAAGGCGUCGACGGGUAGCCGGCAUGAGAGGGUGUACGGCCACAUUGUGACUGCGAUAGCAGCCAGAAUGCAACGGGAGGCAGCAGUGGGGAAUAUUGCACGAUAGGCGGAAGCCUGAUGCAGGGACGACGGGUGGGGGAUAAAGGUCUUCGGGUUGUAAACGCCGUUCGACAGGGACGCGGUACCUGUAUAAGAAGCACCGGCUAACUACGUGCCAGCAGCCGCGGUAAUAC
rnacentral:rRNA from 1 species